rnacentral:rRNA from 1 species
GAUGAACGCUAGCGACAGGCUUAACACAUGCAAGUCGAGGGGUAACAGGGUAGCAAUACCGCUGACGACCGGCGCACGGGUGAGUAACGCGUAUGCAACCUGCCUAUAACUGGGGAAUAGCUCCCUGAAAGGGGAAUUAACACCGCAUAACACUAUUGAUUCGCAUGGAUUGGUAGUUAAAUGUAGCGAUACAGGUUAUAGAUGGGCAUGCGUGACAUUAGCUAGUUGGUGAGGUAACGGCUCACCAAGCCCACGAUGGAUAGGGGGAACUGAGAGGUUGGUCCCCCAACUGGUACUGAGACACGGACCAGACUCCUACGGGAGCAGCAGUGAGGAAUAUUGGUCAAUGGGCGAGAGCCUGAACCAGCCAAGUCGCGUGAAGGAAGAAGGAUCUAUGGUUCGUAAACUUCUUUUGCAGGGGAAUAAAGUGACAGGACGUGUCCUGUUUUGUAUGUACCCUGAGAAUAAGGAUCGGCUAACGUCCGUGCC